CCAUCCUGCAUAGCACCAAACAUGCCUUCGAACUCUGGGAGACCAAGACCACCUAACCCAACAGGUGCCUGUGGCCUAGCAUCCGCACUAGCAUUUGACCUUGUUGUAUUAGUUUGGGCACCUCCGGCUGCCAGAUUUUCAGUCAAUCAAUAGCUUAUUGGUAAUAGUUCUCUAAGUCAUUUUUUCAAACUGGGAACUAUAACUCAUAAAUCAUCAUCUGAAAGCAAAUCAGCAGAACUAUAGCACAGAUAACUGCUUCAAAAGUAGAACAUUCUGAAGAAUGGAAAGGCAAGAAGUUGCAAGAAAGCAAGAGCUUACUAGCAGCAGAAGACCAAGGGUUUGGUAGUGGAUUAGUAUUGGGAGCAGGAGAAUUGGCAUUAGUUCCAGAAGUGGGUGUGGACUGGUUGGUUGAUCCAUCUCUGGCUUGGUUUCCUCCUUGAGUUCCCAAGAGGGCUGCAAAUGGGUUUGCGCU
rnacentral:lncRNA from 1 species